CUCGGUGUCGGAGGCGUCAUGGCGGGGCGAAAUUUAAAACCCCGGGGGCUUGACAGCAAAACUGCCCUUGUCUGCAAAAGUUUUUGAAAGUUAGAGAGACACCGGGACGAUUGCGUCCAGUAACAGGAGGAGCUCGGAAACGUAUUCAGAAAGGACAAUGCCCUCCUGUAAGGUGUGGGGAGAAAGCUGCCAGGAGAAUCUUGUCUUUUAAAACUCACCCAGAAAGGUAGAUCUACGAACCAGUAAGACAAAUUUUGUUUUUAUUCUUUGUGGUUUUGGAGGCCGCCGCGCCGCUUUCUCACAAACACGCACACAUGCACGCACACUGACUUACAUUCUCCCCUCUCUCUCUCUGCUGUGUAUUGGAGAUGCCUAAUGGCUGCCAUGUCAUGACUGUUUCUGUCUGAGAUUGAAAUGUUGUUUUUUGUAUUUGCUUGGCUGCCAUGACUGCUUUAUGCUAUGUUUUUUUUCCAAUUUUUUUUGACAAUAUGACCGUCCGUCUAGCCAACCUAGUUCGCAUCAAUUCGAUCAUGGCCACCCAAUUGUUCACCGGUUCGUCCAAAAUGGCCACCCUGUUUGUUUGUCUCUCUUUGUCUGUUUUCCUUUCUUUUUUUUCCUCUCUGAUAGCUGACUUUUAAUUGUGUUGGGAGGGAUGGCUUCCCAAUACAAUUACAACAUUUAGUGGUCUUUUGAUGUGUGGAUAGUGAGGUUAUUUAGAGGAUUGCAGAAUGGUUGGGAGAGAAAUUCUGUCCCCUGGUACUGGUCUUAGUGAAUUAUUGUUUGGAACUGCUAAGCUAGUGCUAGUGAGAUGUUUGGUCAGGGCUCGGCUGAUACGGUGCAAAGCCUGAGGUGACCCUCUCAGGGCUCUAUGGAGGUUCAGACAGGUUUUAUGUUCACUCAGGGCAGAUGGUUCACUGGUCCUUGAAUUUUGAAUUUCUAUUGGCUUGAGGUUUUUGUGUAUUAAUGAUUUGGUGGAGCUGUAGUAGAUAAUAGGAGUGGAAAGGUUUUAUGCUGUUACAAAUCAGAAUUCUCUAAUUUGGCCUGUUAUCUGUGUAAUGAAGGUGCUUUGUCUUGGCUGUCAUGUACUAACGCUUUCUUUGUAGGUAAAUCUACAAAUGGUGAGUACCUUAUUUAUUUAUUUAUUUUAAUACAUGUUCUUGGGUGGCUGCCAUGCCUCCUUGCCUGUCUCUCUAUAGUGGGGCUGAACAAUUAAUGUUAUCACAUUUUAUAAUAUUGAGAUGCAAUUUUUUUUGCAUAUUGUUCAGUCUUACUCUAGAUUUGUUAUACUUUAACUGUAGACUGUAAUAAAAUCUAUUAGGGCUGUGUGUUUCUUUCAAUGAAUUGAGUUUUCUUGCCAAAUGCAUCACCACACAAACACAUUUACACUGUCAAACUUAUCAUUAACACUAUUCAUUAAUAAAAGUAGAUUCUAUAAAGGAACAAAUUUAGUUUUUAAUCACACUCUACCUUUUGAUUGGCUCUGAUGACCAGAGUAAUCUGUCAGACCUCGCGUUUGUCCUUCCAACUUAGCUGCAUUUCAGGCCACGCGUUUGUCCGUCCAACUUAGCUGCAUUUCAGGCCACGCGUUUGUCCGUCCAACUUAGCUGCAUUUCAGGCCACGCGUUUGUCUGUCCAACUUAGCUGCAUUUCAGGCCACGCGUUUGUCCGUCCAACUUAGCUGCAUUUCAGGCCACGCGUUUGUCUGUCCAACUUAGCUGCAUUUCAGGCCACGCGUUUGUCUGUCCAACUUAGCUGCAUUUCAGGCCACGCGUUUGUCUGUCCAACUUAGCUGCAUUUCAGGCCACGCGUUUGUCCGUGCCCAUCUACCAAUCUAUCCCUUAUUUGUUGGGCAUGAAUGCCAGUCUAUGUAAAGUGCAGGUUGCGUCUUUGUUUAUUAUUUUUUUUUUAUUAUUUUUGGGCCAUUGUGCCAUCUCUUGUCUAUCCCUCACUGGUUUAUCUUGGCCGCUGCGCCCAUCUACCGAUCUAUCCCUUUCUCGUUUAUCCAUGCAACAUCGCUGUCACCCCGUUGGACUUUUGCCCCCAUUCGCCCCUCCUUCUAAUCAUUUAAACAUCAUAUAGGUGAUUUUGAUUAGACUGAUCAUCUGAACAUCAUAGCUGUUUAGAUGAUCAAUCUAAUCCUCUAAAAAUCUAAUUUAAUCUUAGCAUACGUGUUUUUUCUUUAACUCCUGAGCUGGUGAUCUGAAAUAAUCAAAUGUUGGCUCAGAACUGGGCUGUAACCUGGUGUAAAUUAAGGUUGUCAUAUCUUUCAUCUGCCUGUUUUAAUUGUUUUUUGUGUGCUGCUGUACCUUGAAACUAAGGCUCAUCUUUCUGUUUUUCCAACUUUUGUAUGGCUGCUCUGUCAUCACUUGCAGCAUCUGUUUGUCUUUGUGUGCGUUUGUCGAACAUGGCCUCAUUUUAGUCCACAGUCCAUUUCAGUCAACUUCAUCCCACAAAAGAGGAUUGCGUCUUUGUUUAUUAUUUUUUUUAUUAUUUUUGGGCCAUUGUGCCAUCUCUUGUCUAUCCCUCACUGGUUUAUCUUGGCCGCCGAGCCCAUCUACCGAUCUAUCCCUCUCUCGUUAUCCAUCCAACAUGACUAUUCACCCAAGAUAACAUCCAUCUAAGCUUUAGUCUACCCGUUAGUUUGUAUAAUGGGUUUCAUGGUGAAUCUACAAACGUCCCAUGUUUCCUUAGUUAUGGCUGCAUUUUAGUCCACAGUCCCAUUUCAGUCAACUUCAUCCUACAGAAAAGGAUUGCGUCUUUGUUUAUUAUUUUUUUUAUUAUUUUUGGGCCAUUGUGCCAUCUCUUGUCUAUCCCUCACUGGUUUAUCUUGGCCGCCGAGCCCAUCUACCGAUCUAUCCCUCUCGUUAUCCAUCCAACAUGGUUGAGCAUCUAAGAUUUAGUCUACCCGUUAGUUUGUAUAAUCGGUUUCGUUUUUUUUAUUUUCAUGAUGUAUCUACAAAUGUCUCAAGUUUGCUUAAUUGUGGCUGCCACGCCACCUCUUUCAUUCCUCUGUCUCUCACAUGAACACGCACACAUGUGCACACACUGAUCCUUAAACACUCCCUAUCCACUGUCUUUUUCCAAUUAUCCUGUUGUGAAGGCCGCCGCGCCUGACACAAACACGCACACAUGCACGCACACUGAUACUUACACUUUGUGUCUGUCUGUCUGUGUCUGACUGACGUUCAAAUUAGCUUUAGCAGACUGUGUCUGUCUGUGUCUGACUGACGUUCAAAUUAGCUUUAGCAGACUGUGUCUGUCUGUGUCUGACUGACGUUCAGUUUAGUUUUAUUUGACUGUCUUUUUCAGUCUCUGGUCAACUCACUGCAAGAUUAGCUUUGACAACCGACGUUCAAAUUGGCUUUAUUGGACUCACUGACUGACGGUCAAAUUUGCUUUGUUGGACGGACUGAACUGUGACGAACUGACCAAUCAGAAAUCUAUAUUAAAAUAUCAAAAUUAACAUUGACAAAUUGGCAACAUAUACAAAAUAUGUAAAUAUCAACAAUCCUAUGAACAUAAUAAAAGGUUGUGAAUAACAAUUAUCUUCAGUUGAACUCAUGCAGGACAGAAAUGUCCAAAACGUAUAAAAGAAAUGAGUCUAUUAAACCACAACCACAAACAUGGUUUGUGCCAUGUCAACCUAUUCCCAUCUGUCUAAUUGGCUUGGAUCAGCUUUGGUGAAACAACUUUUUUCCAGGUAUAUCUGCAAAAGUAAGUAUCUUUUCUAAGUGCUAUACAAAUGCAACUGGGAUUGUUUAAGGUUCUUGAAGAUGUUUUAUCUGAAAGGCUACUUUAGUUCUGUCCAGUUGCCUUUGUAUAGCGUUUAGAAAUACCAUGACGUGGAUGGCUGUCGAUCUUAAAACAAGUAAGUAUCUUUUUUUUGUUUAAAUCUGUGUUUUAGCAAUUUCACCAUGUCUGUGCUGUCUUGGGCACCCAUCUCUUUGUUGGGUUUGUCUGUUUUUGCCGGGCUGUCUUUGUCUGUUUCUCUCUUAGUCUUUGCCCCUUUUCUGUCUCUCUUUGUUAUUGUCUCUGUAUGUCUCACUUUUUUUUUUCCAUCUUUGUCUCUGUCCCACAUUGGUUGAAGACUGCAUAUUAGUUUUUCUCUUUGCUUACUGUGUACCCUGAAAGUUAGGUGACUGCCAGCUCAGACCAUUUAUCAUUCAUAGUUGGUAAAUGCUUUUAAUUUGUUGUUGAUACUUAUUGCACAGUGUAGUAGCUGUUGCUGUUAAUAUUAAACAAACAAAUCACUGCCAGUUCUAUAAGUGGGGUUGUUUUUACCUGGUUCCAUUAUUCCAUCUUCGGAUAGUGCAGGUACAUGGUGUAGGUUGAUAUGGAAUAAUUGGAGAUCCUAAGUGAGAGAAUUUCAUAUACUACGUAUUAGUGUAGUUGUGUUGCUGUCAAUCAUCACCACCCAAAUUUCUGUUUAUUAUACUGUAUACUUAAAUUGAUUUUUGAGGUUAAAGGCUGUCUUGUUUUGCUCUGCCAAGUUUAAUUCCAACUGGAGUCCCAAGUAGAACCAUUUGAGUUGAAGUCGGUCUAGCGUCGUUCAGUUUUGCAUCCGUAUUUAUAUGCACAACAUUGGGAGGCCUCCCAGCAGGGGAAUUUUAUCGCACCCCUGCAAAGCGUUAUGCCACUAGGGUACGGUCGCAUCGAUUGCUGAUGAGAUACACUGCGGCAUCAACUGACACAAGAUAAAUUGGGCAGUUUCAUACGCGCAUGAAAUUGUCCUUUUUAUUGAUUGGUAGAUGAUUACCGGACAGUAGCGCGUUUGGGCUCUCAUGGAGGGCGUAAACCUGGCAGAGAGACAACUCAGAUACCUCUGAUAGGAAUCUGAGGAAACUUCUGGUCACCCGAUUUGGGUAUAUUUCCUUAAUUUUGUGUACUGGUGGUGAGGUUGACAGCAAUGAUGGCUAUGAAAUGACAUACUUGAAUUAGAAACUUAAUACUGUGGGCUGAAUUCCAGAGAAGGUGUUGGUGUUGUCUUGAGGCAAACACAUGGGACAGAAUUAUAACUCUAAGACUUUGUAAUUAGAGCCAGAUGCUGCAGGGAUAGUACUUGUGGUAGAGGUAGUAUUGCUGUUGUUAAUGUGGGAGGAGGUAUUUACAGGAGACAGCUGUAGUGUUAAAUGAAUGACCGUUCGUAUGAAGUGAGAUUUCCAUUGUGGAAUAUUUACUUCUAUGAUUUCUUUUGUCCCUUUUACUGAAACUUUGUCACUUGGAUAGUGAAAACCUUGUACUCAACUGUAAAGUGUUACAUUAUUAUUUUGUCUUCAUUUGACCAAUUUGCAUAGCAUCGUCUUUCUGGAGGUCCAAGACACGUUGGUGGUAAGCUGCUAAGAUGACAAAGUGGGAUUUGAUACGUCUGAACUACAUGUUGGAUGGUUGGAUGGCAUCUGGAACCCC